GAGUUUUCUCAUAAACUGAGAGAAAAUAAUCCGAAUUCAAUGCAGUACAAGUUGUGGAUAACGCACUGCUCUAGAAAGGGGAUGUUGACAUGAUGUGUAAUUUACAGCUUCCUUCGAUGAAAACGUUAAAAAAAUUGGAGUACAUUGUUAUGAUGACCAGACUCGAAGGCAUUCAUGUAAUUGGGUGAAUCACAGAGUCUCAGGAAUCUUCUGGAUUAACCAAAAGUGAUGGCUGAAACAAAUAUUAACUGGUAGUCUACUUAGUGAUCUGGACACUGGAUAAGGCAGAAACCAUUUUCAACAGAACUGUUAAGAGUGUAAAUUAAAAAAAAAAACAAGAUACCCACUCUCCAACUCAUUCAUAGCUUCAUUCUUGGCUUCAUUGUGUUGAAUAUGAGUCAAGACUUUUCUAUUGUACCAAGGCUGAAGAGACUUUCAAACCAUAAACAACAUCACCACAGAGCAGUUGACUUUCAUUUCUUCUUCUGAAUUUGUAUGUUAUACCCUUAAUUAUUACAGUGUGAAUUUACUUUGCACAGAAGAAGAUGUAAAUUAGCAUAACUUCAACAAGUAUUUACUUUGUCAGUUUCAGACACAUAACUCAAUUAUUUGGUAUUUUAAAAAAAAGUAAUUGGCAGCAUUUACUAUGGAAUCAUCAUUGUUCUUGGGGGAGGAUAGGUGGG